GACGAACGCUGGCGGCGUGCUUAACACAUGCAAGUCGAACGAAGUGGCGAACGGGUGAGUAACGCGUAAUCAACCUGCCCUUCAGAGGGGGAUAACAGUUGGAAACGACUGCUAAUACCGCAUACUGAAGGAGGGGAUUGCGUCUGAUUAGCUAGUUGGAGGGGUUAAGGACCACAAAGGCGAUGAUCAGUAGCCGGUAUGAGAGGAGGAACGGCCACCUUGGUCCUGAGUCACGGCCCAGACUCCUACGGGAGGCAGCAGUGGGGAAUCUGCCGCAAUGGACGAAAGUCUGACGGAGCAACGCCGCGUGAGUGAUGACGGCCUUCGGGUUGUAAAGCUCUGUUAAUCGGGACGCGGUACCGGAAUAGAAAGCCACGGCUAACUACGUGCCAGCCGCCGCGGUAAUAC
rnacentral:rRNA from 1 species